CUCAAUGCGGCCCAGCCACAGGUGGAGGUCCUCCUGGCUGGAUGUACAGCGACUGGAGGCCUCCAGAGCCUGCUCCAGCCUUUGGAGCACAUCCAGACUACUCAGAUUUAGCACGGAGCAUCGGAUACGAAGAGCAUCUAAUUUGUCCUGCACCUGUUGUUCCUCCUCCACUGAAAUCACAGUCACAGCAACGAACAUUGGCAGUUUUAACCUGGAUCUCAUCAGUGACAGCCUGACAAGAAAUGACUGCAUGUCAAGUUCUACUUCAACUGAAAAAUACACAUUACGCAGUUCAGCAAGGGCCUGCUCUACAGAUAUGAGCCACUGCUGCAGAUUGUCUACGCCUUCCUGGAAAAUCUGAGCCCUAGGUGUCAAGAUGAUUUUUAUUGCCAAGAAAUGGCCACUAAAACAUACAAGGGGCCAUUGUGGACACAAACUCUGCCCAUUCACCCCUGACCAGAGAAGGGAUCUGACCUUGCUACACCUUUCUGCAGCAUGCCUAUUUUGGUGUAUUUCACUACUGUAGGUAAUCUAAUAUGAUUAUGGAGUGUAAAAUGAGGUCAUAAGAAACAAACCCUUUGCUCUUGAAGCUGUGCUUUCACCACUUUGACCUCUGAAGAUGGAGGUUUCUGAUUUUCUGUGAGCUCUUCUAUUUCACACACCCAUGUCAGUAAGGCUUCCAGACUUUGAAGGAACGUCUCAGAAUCAGUAGAUAUGUUUCGCAGAGGCAACGUAGACUUAGUUUCCUUUAGGAAGACCAUCACAUUAUAUUGACCACAUCAAUUCAAUUAAAUGAAUGGAAGGCCGGAAAAUGUAAUAAAUGUUGUUAGUGUAAAAUGGUAACAGCGUUGAGAAUAAAACAUACCCUCCAUUUAGCCACGCAGGAAUCUUGGUCUGAGCUUGAGUGUCCAUCACUUUGGAGCUGUGAAGUGAACAAAGUUUCAUCACUUUUUUUUUUUUUUUUAAUAAAAGUUGUAGUUAGACGCAGUUUUUGAACAUUAGAGCAAUGACAAUC